UACAGAGGGGGCAAGCGUUGUUCGGAAUUACUGGGCGUAAAGGGCGCGUAGGCGGCCUGUUAAGUCGAACGUGAAAUCCCCGGGCUCAACCCGGGAACUGCGUCCGAUACUGGCAGGCUUGAAUCCGGGAGAGGGAUGCGGAAUUCCAGGUGUAGCGGUGAAAUGCGUAGAUAUCUGGAGGAAUACCGGUGGUGAAGGCGGCAUCCUGGACCGACAUUGACGCUGAGGAGCGAAAGCUAGGGGAGCAAACGGG
rnacentral:rRNA from 1 species